rnacentral:rRNA from 1 species
CUACGGGGGGCUCCAGUGGGGAAUAUUGGACAAUGGGGGAAACCCUGAUCCAGCAAUGCCGCGUGUGUGAAGAAGGCCUGCGGGUUGUAAAGCACUUUCGGUUGGGAGGACUGCUUCUAGCACUAAUAUUGUUGGAAGUUGACGUUACCUUCAGAAGAAGCACCGGCUAACUCCGUGCCAGCAGCCGCGGUAAUACGGAGGGUGCAAGCGUUGAAUCGGAAUUACUGGGCGUAAAGCGCGCGUAGGCGGCUAGGUCAGUCGGGUGUGAAAGCCCCGGGCUUAACCUGGGAACUGCAUCCGAUACUGUCUAGCUUGAGUACAGGAGAGGAGAGUGGAAUUCCACAUGUAGCGGUGAAAUGCGUAGAUAUGUGGAGGAACACCAAUGGCGAAGGCAGCUCUCUGGCCUGAUACUGACGCUGAGGUGCGAAAGCGUGGGGAGCAAACAGGAUUAGAUACCCGCGUAGUC